rnacentral:rRNA from 1 species
UACCAGCACCCCGAGUGGUCGGGGCGAUUAUUGGGCCUAAAGCAUCCGUAGCCGGUUCUACAAGUCUUCCGUUAAAUCCACCGGCUUAACAGAUGGGCUGCGGAGGAUACUAUGGAGCUAGGAGGCGGGAGAGGCAAGCGGUACUUAGUGGGUAGGGGUAAAAUCCGUUGAUCCCUUGAAGACCACCAGUGGCGAAGGCGGCUUGCCAGAACGCACUCGACGGUGAGGGAUGAAAGCUGGGGGAGCAAACCGG